rnacentral:rRNA from 1 species
UACGUAUGGAGCAAGCGUUAUCCGGAAUUACUGGGUGUAAAGGGAGCGUAGACGGAUGUGCAAGUCUGAUGUGAAAGGCGGGGGCUCAACCCCUGGACUGCAUUGGAAACUGUAAAUCUUGAGUGCCGGAGAGGUAAGCGGAAUUCCUAGUGUAGCGGUGAAAUGCGUAGAUAUUAGGAGGAACACCAGUGGCGAAGGCGGCUUACUGGACGGUAACUGACGUUGAGGCUCGAAAGCGUGGGGAGCAAACAGG